rnacentral:rRNA from 1 species
AGUGAAGCGGGAAAAGCUCAAAUUUAAAAUCUGGUGGCCUCUGGUCACCCGAGUUGUAAUUUAGAGAAGCGUCUUCCGCGCUGGACCGUGCACAAGUCUCCUGGAAUGGAGCGUCAUAGAGGGUGAGAAUCCCGUCUUUGGCACGGACGCACCAGGGCUUUUGUGAUGCGCUCUCGAAGAGUCGAGUUGUUUGGGAAUGCAGCUCAAAAUGGGUGGUGAACUCCAUCUAAAGCUAAAUAUUGGCGAGAGACCGAUAGCGAACAAGUACCGUGAGGGAAAGAUGAAAAGCACUUUGGAAAGAGAGUGAAACAGUACGUGAAAUUGUUGAAAGGGAAACGCUUGAAGUCAGUCGCGUCGACCGAGACUCAGCCUUGCCUCGGCUCGGUGUACUUCUCGGCCGACGGGUCAGCAUCAAUUUUGCCCCUCGGAUAAUGGCGAGAGAAAGGUGGCACCCUCUCGGGUGUGUUAUAGUCUCCCGUCGGAUGCGAGGGUCGGGAUUGAGGAACUCGGCACGUACCGUGCUUAGGAUGUUGGCAUAAUGGCUUUAAACGACCCGUCUUGAAACACGGACCAAGGAGUCUAACAUGCCCGCGAGUGUUCGGGUGGAAAACCCGUGCGCGUAAUGAAAGUAAAAGUUGGGACCCCUGUCGUGGGGGGCACCGACGCCCGGACCAGACCUUCUGUGACGGAUCUGCGGUAGAGCGUGCAUGUUGGGACCCGAAAGAUGGUGAACUAUGCCUGAAUAGGGUGAAGCCAGAGGAAACUCUGGUGGAGGCUCGUAGCGAUUCUGACGUGCAAAUCGAUCGUCAAAUUUGGGUAUAGGGGCGAAAGACUAAUCGAACAUCUAGU